UACAGAGGUCUCGAGCGUUAGGCGGAAUCACUGGGCUUAAAGCGUGUGUAGGCGGACGCCUAAGUGUCUUGUGAAAUCCCACGGCUCACCCGUGGAACUGCUGGGCAUACUGGGCGUCUUGGGCCAACUAGGGGCAGCCGGAACAAGCGGUGGAGCGGUGAAAUGCGUAGAUAUCGCUUGGAACGCCGAAGGUGAAAACAGGCUGCUGGGGUUGCGCCGACGCGUGAGACACGGAAAGCCCAGGGGAGCAAACGGG
rnacentral:rRNA from 1 species